GACGUAGGAGGCGAGCGUUGUCCGGAUUCAUUGGGCGUAAAGAGCACGCAGGCGGUUUGGCAAGUCGGAUGUGAAAACCCGGAGCUCAACUCCGGACCUGCAUCCGAAACUGCCCGACUAGAGGUAGGUAGGGGAGAUCGGAAUUCCUGGUGUAGCGGUGAAAUGCGCAGAUAUCAGGAGGAACACCUGUGGCGAAGGCGGCCGACUGGGCCGACCCUGACGCUGAGGCGCGAAGGCGUGGGGAGCGAACGGG
rnacentral:rRNA from 1 species